CUUUCUUUCAAAACUCAGACCAAACCAAGAAGGAAGGAACAAAGACAGAACGAAGAAAGACAAACCCCAUCAAUCUCCACUCCGAAAACCCUCUCAUCUCCGGCGACCAUCUUCGUUCCGGCGAUCAUCUCCACUCUCUUCGUUCGCAGCUGUUUCAUUGUCCGUCCCUCUCAACUUGAACAGAUGGGUCGUGUAGAUAGCUGAAGGAUGUGUAGAUGAAGGACCCCCUUAAUGUUUGUUAGUUAUUAAAUUAGUCAUUUUUUGCAUCACCCUGUUUAUGAUUAAUUGCAAAGGCAAUAGUAUAUAUUAAUGAAAUUUUAAUGAUUUAUUUUGUUCAUUAUAGGUUUAUGCCUCAUGAGAGUCAUCACUUUAUAAGCAAUUGUGAGAAUCAUCAUGCAUAUUAUGUGCUUUAAGUGUUCUGCAUAUUUUGACUAUUUGUCUCAUAAUGAAAUGAAGAAAGAUAUAUUUUUGUUUAUGUUUUGCAGCUUUAUUGGACUAUAGUUGUGGGAAUUAUAGUUGAGAUGAUUAUGACAUGGGUGGAGCAACUGGUUAGUAAAAUUGUAUCUUAUUUGAUACAAGAGUUUAGGAUUAUAGGAAUCAUUGAGAAUGUGAUAAUGUUAUUUCCUUGUGCAGGCUUGUAAUAUCUCAUUAAAAAUUGUCGACUUCCAACGCUCUAUCGUACAUGAAAUGAAGACGGGGUCUUUGUAAGAACUCAAACCAAUGCAUAAGAGUUAUACUGGGUUGAACAAGAUAUAAGUUGCAGGCCUCAGAAGCUGCAGAUGGUAAGGGCUCCCAGAUGAUCAACACGAUUGACCCUGCGACUCAUUUUAAGUUAUGUGCCUAAUCAUCUAGAGGAAAACUGUUAUGACUACAUAUUUUGUCCAAAUUGUUAGUGUCUUAUCUGUUUAUUUUGAAACUUGUAAUAGUGUCAAUUUUUGUUAACACUACACUUUAGUUUCAGUAAAUGAUCUUUUGAUGAUAUGAUUCAAUUUGCUUAGUUUUAAAUUUAGUUAUUGUUUAGUUUGUGUUUGUUUGGUAUUGGUUAUCUUGUUGG